UACGGAGGGUGCAAGCAUUGAUCGGAAUUACUGGGCGUAAAGGGCGCGUAGGCGGUCAUGAAAGUCAGAUGUGAAAUUCCGGGGCUCAACCCCGGAGCAGCAUUUGAAACUCCAUGACUUGAGUACAGUUAGGGAAAACGGAAUUCCACGUGUAGCGGUGAAAUGCGUAGAUAUGUGGAAGAACACCGGUGGUGAAGACGGUUUUCUGGGCUGAGACUGACGCUGAGGCGCGAAAGCUAGGGGAGCAAACAGG
rnacentral:rRNA from 1 species